AAUAGGUAAAAAAAAUCUUCCUUUUUCUCUUGCCGUUUCUCCUUGCCCUAGUUGCGAACGAGCCGCCACGCGAAGAGGAGUGCACGACACUGAAGAAAGAAGCCAAAGCUUCAAUUCCCAAUCGCGAGCAAAAAGAUUCGGAGAUAUAUUUGUGAACUCAGGUGCGAAAGGAAGCUACACAGCGCAUGCUUUAGCAAUUAGCAGCAAGAAAGAUGCUUCCUUGCCCUCAAUCUUGUGUUGUUUUCUUCAACAAUUACUUGGCUUUCUUUCACUCUCAAUCUUCAAACCCUAAACCCAAUGAAUCUACAAAUACCCAUCCCAAGAAGCAGCGGCUUGUCAGGGAGAGGAAUCCACCCACCAAGAUUGGUAAUCUCGAGGACGCUUUGAGUUUGUUCAAUGUGAGGCUUCGACUGCGCUCUCUGCCUUCUGUUGUCUGUUUCACCCAAAUUUUGGGUCAACUUGGGAAGGUGAAACGUUACUCGGCCGUGAUUUCUUUGUAUAACCAAAUGGGUUUGUUGGGAUUGUUCCUGAUGUUUAUAUUCUAGCUAUCAUCAUCAAUUGCUUUUGUCGUUUGAAGCGUGUGAUUUAGCUCAUCCGUCUUGGGAAAAUUCUUCAAAUUUGGUUUUGAACCAGAUGUCACGACCCUCAACACGUUUGAAGCGUGUGAUUUAGCUCAUCCGUCUUGGGAAAAUUCUUCAAAUUUGGUUUUGAACCAGAUGUCACGACCCUCAACACUUUAAUGCACGGGUUUCUUCUUGAGAAUGGAGUUUCUAAGGCAUCAUGACUUUUCAAAGAAAUGGUGGAGGGCAGGUUGUAAGCCAAUGUGAUCACUUUCAGCACACUUGUAAAGGGCUUUGGCAUGAUGGGUAACAGUUGUGCAGCUAUUCAGAUGCUCAGAAAAAUUGAUCAAAGAGGUUGUAAGCUCGACACCGUUGCCUAUAGCACGAUCAUCGACAGUAAGUAGUUGUCGACACAGUGAACAUCUUCUCAUAAAUUAUUAGUAUGGGUCUCCCCCAUAUACCAUUUUGUAUACCUCUUUGAUUCAUGGAUUUCGGAGAUUAGGCAAGUGGAAAGAAGCCACAAGUUGUUGAAUGAAAUGGUGACUAAAAAUAUAUUUCCAAGUGCACGCACCUUCAAUGUCUUGGUUGUGCAUUUUGUAAGUGGGUAUGGUUGUGGAAGCAAGGAGUGUGAUUGGAAUGAUGAUAAAGAGAUAUAUUGAGCCUGAUGUGGCAUCCGCCUUUGGUUGUCCGCUUUAAUCAACUAAUGAGUCCGCUUCCAAAGUUGAAACAUUAUUCGGCCGUUAUUUCUUUGUAUAACCAAAUGUGUCAAUUGAGAAAUUGUUCUUGAUGUUUAUUCACUGAACAUAUUAUUCUUAAUUGAUUUUGUUGUACGAACCAAAUGGGUUUUUAAUUUACUCAUUUUUGGCAAAAUUCUUCAAA